CCUACGGGUGGCAGCAGUGGGGAAUAUUGCACAAUGGGGGAAACCCUGAUGCAGCAACGCCGCGUGAGUGAAGAAGUCAUUCGUGAUGUAAAGCUCUAUCAGCAGGGAAGAAAAUGACGGUACCUGACUAAGAAGCCCCGGCUAACUACGUGCCAGCAGCCGCGGUAAUACGUAGGGGGCAAGCGUUAUCCGGAUUUACUGGGUGGAAAGGGAGCGUAGGCGGCGACGCAAGUCUGAAGUGAAAGUCCAGGGCUAAACACUGGAACUGCUUUGGAAACUGUGUAGCUAGAGUGCAGGAGAGGUAAGUGGAAUGCCUAGUGUAGCGAUGAAAUGCGUAGAUAUUAGGAGGAACACCAGUGGCGAAGGCGGCUUACUGGACUGUAACUGACGGUGAGGCUCGAAGGUGUGGGGAGCAAACAGGAUUAGAUACCCGGGUAGUC
rnacentral:rRNA from 1 species